GAUGAACGCUAGCGGCAGGCCUAACACAUGCAAGUCGAGGGGCAGCACAGAGAUAGCUUGCUAUCUUGGGUGGCGACCGGCGCACGGGUGAGUAACGCGUAUCCAACCUGCCCAUUACUCAGGGAUAGCCUUGCGAAAGUAAGAUUAAUACCUGAUGUUGUUUGAUUGCCGCAUGACGAUCAAACCAAAGAUUUAUUGGUAAUGGAUGGGGAUGCGUGACAUUAGGUAGUUGGUGAGGUAACGGCUCACCAAGCCCACGAUGUCUAGGGGUUCUGAGAGGAAGGUCCCCCACACUGGAACUGAGACACGGUCCAGACUCCUACGGGAGGCAGCAGUGAGGAAUAUUGGGUCAAUGGACGAGAGUCUGAACCAGCCAAGUAGCGUGCAGGAUGACGGCCCUCUGGGUUGUAAACUGCUUUUAGUGGAAUAAAAGNGGGACGUGUCCCUAAUUGUAUGUACCAUCAGAAAAAGGCCGGCUAAUUCCGUGCCAG
rnacentral:rRNA from 1 species